UGUGGAUAGGGGAGAAAUUCCAAUCGAACCCGGAGAUAGCUGGUUCUCCUCGAAAUAGCUUUAGGGCUAGCCUCAUGGAUCAUUGAUGGGGGUAGAGCACUGAAUGUGCGCGGGGGCCACAAAGCCUACCAAACGCUAUCAAACUUCGAAUACCAUACAAUGCAGACCAUGGGAGUCAGUCCGCGAGAGAUAAGUUCCGCGGGCAAAAGGGGAACACCCCAGAUCAACCGCUAAGGUCCCCAAGUUCACGUUAAGUGGAGAAGGAUGUGGAAUUGCACAGACAACCAGGAUGUUGGCUCAGAAGCAGCCACACAUUUAAAGAGUGCGUAAUAGCUCACUGGUCGAGUGAUUGUGCGCCGAAGAUGUCCGGGGCUAAACGUGACACCGAAGCGAUGGGUGCAUCUGAAAGGAUGCGCGGUAGAGGAGCAAUGUGCAGAGGCAGAAGCCGUAUCGAGAGGCACGGUGGACACUGCACAAGAGAGAAUGCCGGUAUGAGUAGCGAGAGGCAUGCGAGAAACAUGCCCGUCGAAAGCCCAAGGUUUCCUGGGGAAGGUUCAUCCGCCCAGGGUAAGUCGGGGCCUAAGCCGAGGACGGAAGUCGUAGGCGAUGGACAGCAGGUGUAGAUUCCUGCACUACCGAUGGAAUGAAGCAGUGACACAGAAGGAUAACUCGAGCAGGGUGAUGGUCAACCCUGUGCAAGCAUCAAGGUUGGGUUGUAGUGAAGUACGCAAUCCUACAAGCUGAGGUGUGAUGCGGACCGAAAUUUCAGUAGGGAAGCGAGUGAGUUCACGCUGGCGAGAAAAGCUGCUAGUAUAUCCAAAGGUACCCGUACCGGAAACCGACGCAGGUGGGCGAGGAGAGAAUCCUGAGACGAACGGGAGAACCCUUGUUAAGGAACUCGGCAAAAUGACCCCGUAACUUCGGGAUAAGGGGUGCCUGCGAGAGCAGGCCGCAGAGAAUAGUCACAAGCGACUGUUUAGCAAAAACACAGGUAUCUGCGAAAGCGAGAGCUGACGUAUAGGUGCUGACACCUGCCCGGUGCUGGAAGGUUAAGGGAACAUGUUAGAGCAAUCGAAGCAUCGAACCGAAGCCCCAGUAAACGGCGGCCGUAACUAUAACGGUCCUAAGGUAGCGAAAUUCCUUGUCGGGUAAGUUCCGACCCGCACGAAUGGUGUAACGACUUGUGAGCUGUCUCAACAGGGGGCCCGGUGAAAUUGAAGUAUGGGUGAAGAUGCCCAUUACCCGCGACUGGACGGAGAGACCCCGUAGAGCUUUACUGCAGCCUGAUAUUGAGUUUCGGUAACUGAUGCACAGGAUAGGUGGGAGUCUGAGAGACAUGGGUUUCGGCUCAUGUGGAGACGAUGUUGGGAUACCACUCUUCGGUUACUGAAAUUCUAACAUAGCUCUGUGAAACCAGAGGAUGGACAGUGUCAGGUGGACAGUUUGACUGGGGCGGUCGCCUCCGAAAGAGUAACGGAGGCGCCCAAAGGUACCCUCAGAAUGGAUGGAAACCAUUCGAAGAGCGCAAAGGCAGAAGGGUGCCUGACUGCGAGAUUGACAAAUCGAGCAGAGACGAAAGUCGGGCUUAGUGAUCCGGCGGUAUUGAGUGGAAAAGCCGUCGCUUAACGGAUAAAAGCUACCUCGGGGAUAACAGGCUGAUCUCCCCCAAGAGUCCACAUCGACGGGGAGGUUUGGCAC
rnacentral:rRNA from 1 species